AGUGCGCAAGAGGAAGGAGGAUGGGGAUGAGGAUGAGGGGAAGGAGGAUGAGGAUGAGGGGAAAGAGGAGGAGGAGGGAGAAAAAGGAAAAGAAAAAUGGUGUAAGAGGAGGAGGAAGAAGAAAGAAAAAAGAAAUGGUGUAAACUUUAUCUAAAUAAUGUAAUUUUAUUCUGAAGAGUGUAAAUCUGAUUUUAAAGAGUAUAAUUUCUGUUUCAAAGAGUGUAAUUUUUAUUUAAAAUAGUAUAAAAAAUUUUAAAACAGUGUAAUUUUAUUUUGACAAUGUAAUUUCAUCUUCUUUUUCUCUUUUUUAUAAUUUUUUUUCUUUUUUUUCUUUUUUUUUUCUAUAUAUAUAUAUUUUUUUUUGUCACGCCUCUCCGCCAACGACCACGGCGUCGGCGACUACGCCACUAAGAAUCCCCGUUCUGA
rnacentral:lncRNA from 1 species